rnacentral:ncRNA from 2 species
CCACCAUCCAGAGCGGCCGAGAGACCUGGCUCGUCGACGCCGCAGCAACCGCCCCCUCGGGGGUGUGGUGCUCACGCCAGGACCGAUGGAGG